GACGAACGCUGGCGGCGUGCUUAACACAUGCAAGUCGAACGGAAAGGCCCUUCGGGGUACUCGAGUGGCGAACGGGUGAGUAACACGUGGGUGAUCUGCCCUGCACUUUGGGAUAAGCCUGGGAAACUGGGUCUAAUACCGAAUAGGACCACGCGCUUCAUGGUGUGUGGUGGAAAGCUUUUGCGGUGUGGGAUGGGCCCGCGGCCUAUCAGCUUGUUGGUGGGGUAAUGGCCUACCAAGGCGACGACGGGUAGCCGGCCUGAGAGGGUGACCGGCCACACUGGGACUGAGAUACGGCCCAGACUCCUACGGGAGGCAGCAGUGGGGAAUAUUGCACAAUGGGCGCAAGCCUGAUGCAGCGACGCCGCGUGAGGGAUGACGGCCUUCGGGUUGUAAACCUCUUUCAAUAGGGACGAAGCGCAAGUGACGGUACCUAUAGAAGAAGCACCGGCCAACUACGUA
rnacentral:rRNA from 1 species